GUGGAGAGAGGUGAUUUCUGUAGAGAAUAAUUAUAGCACCAGGGCCCGCCGAGGCACGAGGCACUCUAUUUUGUCUUGUAAUCACGACGACUAUUAUUUUUAGUCCGAUCAAUGAGCAUAAUUUCUAAGCAGUCCAGCGGUGGAUGCGCGCAAACUUUUGCGCACCGCUGGAAACCCACUAGAUUCAGUUGCAGAACGUACCGCGUAGACGCCCCUGGUGGCGCCGAGAGAAGAACUAGGCCUGCCCAACACAGAGCCUGAGAGCGACGGGCCUUCCGGAAGGUUCGAUGAGAUGAGUUCCUAUUUGACCUCUGAGCCGAGGCGGGCCGGAAACCGAGGCCUAGGCCCCGCCGGGGCUGCAAGGGAAAGGCGAAACUCCGAGCGUAGCGACUUUUCCGUGUGGUUCCUUUCUCUGGCAUCCCGGACCGCGGGCCUUGCAGCCACCUGGACCGGCAUUCAAAGGUUUCUACAAGUCCAGCUUCACACACUGGCUUUCCCAGACGCUCCGGAGCCCGCACCACGAACAGAAUAAACGAGAGACGAGAGAUCGCAACUAG